rnacentral:tRNA from 1 species
GGGUGGGUGGCUUAAUGGUUAGAGCCUAGGUCUCGUAACCGAAAGGUUCCGAGCUCGAGAUUCCCCACCUG